GAGAGAGAGACAUGCGCGCAUAUCAAUAAGCGGAGGAAAAGAAACUAACAAGGGAUUCCCCUAGUAACGGCGAGUGAAGCGGGAAGAGCUCAAAUUUGAAAUCUUAAAGGGUUUCCCUUUACGAAUUGUAGUUUAAAGAAGUGUUUUUUGUUGAGGUUUUGGUAAAAGUUCUUUGGAAUAGGACAUCAUAGAGGGUGAGAAUCCCGUAUUUGACCUUUACUUUCAACUUUGUGAUACACUUCCAAAGAGUCGGAUUGUUUGGGAAUGCAGUCCAAAAUGGGUGGUAAAUUUCAUCUAAAGCUAAAUAUUGGCGAGAGACCGAUAGCGAACAAGUACCGUGAGGGAAAGAUGAAAAGAACUUUGAAAAGAGAGUUAAACAGUACGUGAAAUUGUCAAAAGGGAAGCGUUUGACACCAGUGUUGUUUUUCUGAAAAUCAAUUAAAGAACUGUUUAUGCUAAGCUGUUUAGACUUUAUCAGCUAUCUGUUUAGUUUUGAGCUUUUCUUUAAUGCACUUUUCAGUUAACAAGUCAACAUCAAUUUCUUUUGCUGUAAAAAAGCUUGAGGAAGGUGGCUUGAGAUUCGUCUUAAGUGUUUAUAGCCUCUUGCCUAUGCAGUCGGAGAGAUUGAGGUCUGCAGCGUAGAUCCUUCGGGGCUAAAUGCACUUUGUGCUAAGUUAUAGCAUUUUAUAGACAACUUGUUGACUAUGAUUUGUCUUGUAGCUUACUCGCUUAUGUUAUUUUACCUACGCUUAGGAUGUUGACGCAUGAGAUAUACGC
rnacentral:rRNA from 1 species